GAUGAACGCUGGCGGCGUGCCUAAUACAUGCAAGUCGAGCGAACGGACGAGAAGCUUGCUUCUCUGAUGUUAGCGGCGGACGGGUGAGUAACACGUGGAUAACCUACCUAUAAGACUGGGAUAACUUCGGGAAACCGGAGCUAAUACCGGAUAAUAUUUUGAACCGCAUGGUUCAAAAGUGAAAGACGGUCUUGCUGUCACUUAUAGAUGGAUCCGCGCUGCAUUAGCUAGUUGGUAAGGUAACGGCUUACCAAGGCAACGAUGCAUAGCCGACCUGAGAGGGUGAUCGGCCACACUGGAACUGAGACACGGUCCAGACUCCUACGGGAGGCAGCAGUAGGGAAUCUUCCGCAAUGAGCGAAAGCCUGACGGAGCAACGCCGCGUGAGUGAUGAAGGUCUUCGGAUCGUAAAACUCUGUUAUUAGGGAAGAACAUAUGUGUAAGUAACUGUGCACAUCUUGACGGUACCUAAUCAGAAAGCCACGGCUAACUACGUGCCAGCAGCCGCGGUAAUACGUAGGUGGCAAGCGUUAUCCGGAAUUAUUGGGCGUAAAGCGCGCGUAGGCGGUUUUUUAAGUCUGAUGUGAAAGCCCACGGCUCAACCGUGGAGGGUCAUUGGAAACUGGAAAACUUGAGUGCAGAAGAGGAAAGUGGAAUUCCAUGUGUAGCGGUGAAAUGCGCAGAGAUAUGGAGGAACACCAGUGGCGAAGGCGACUUUCUGGUCUGUAACUGACGCUGAUGUGCGAAAGCGUGGGGAUCAAACAGGAUUAGAUACCCUGGUAGUCCACGCCGUAAACGAUGAGUGCUAAGUGUUAGGGGGUUUCCGCCCCUUAGUGCUGCAGCUAACGCAUUAAGCACUCCGCCUGGGGAGUACGACCGCAAGGUUGAAACUCAAAGGAAUUGACGGGGACCCGCACAAGCGGUGGAGCAUGUGGUUUAAUUCGAAGCAACGCGAAGAACCUUACCAAAUCUUGACAUCCUUUGACAACUCUAGAGAUAGAGCCUUCCCCUUCGGGGGACAAAGUGACAGGUGGUGCAUGGUUGUCGUCAGCUCGUGUCGUGAGAUGUUGGGUUAAGUCCCGCAACGAGCGCAACCCUUAAGCUUAGUUGCCAUCAUUAAGUUGGGCACUCUAAGUUGACUGCCGGUGACAAACCGGAGGAAGGUGGGGAUGACGUCAAAUCAUCAUGCCCCUUAUGAUUUGGGCUACACACGUGCUACAAUGGACAAUACAAAGGGCAGCGAAACCGCGAGGUCAAGCAAAUCCCAUAAAGUUGUUCUCAGUUCGGAUUGUAGUCUGCAACUCGACUACAUGAAGCUGGAAUCGCUAGUAAUCGUAGAUCAGCAUGCUACGGUGAAUACGUUCCCGGGUCU
rnacentral:rRNA from 1 species